rnacentral:rRNA from 1 species
UGGGGAAUAUUGCGCAAUGGGCGAAAGCCUGACGCAGCAACACCGCGUGAGGGAUGACGGCCUUCGGGUUGUAAACCUCUUUCAGCUCCGACGAAGCGAAAGUGACGGUAGGAGCAGAAGAAGCACCGGCUAACUACGUGCCAGCAGCCGCGGUAAUACGUAGGGUGCAAGCGUUAUCCGGAUUUAUUGGGCGUAAAGAGCUCGUAGGCGGUUCGGUAAGUCGGGUGUGAAAACUCUGGGCUCAACCCAGAGAGGCCACUCGAUACUGCUGUGACUAGAGUGCGGUAGGGGAGCGGGGAAUUCCUGGUGUAGCGGUGAAAUGCGCAGAUAUCAGGAGGAACACCAGUGGCGAAGGCGCCGCUCUGGGCCGUAACUGACGCUGAGGAGCGAAAGCAUGGGUAGCAAAGCAGGAUUAGAUACCCUGGUAGUCCAUGCCGUAAACGUUGGGCACUAGGUGUGGGUCUCAACCAACGAGAUCCGCGCCGU